rnacentral:rRNA from 1 species
AAUAGAUACCCGGGUAGUCCUAGCCGUAAACGAUACUCGCUAGGUGUCGGCCACGGUGCGACCGUUGUCGGUGCCGUAGGGAAGCCGUGAAGCGAGCCACCUGGGAAGUACGGCCGCAAGGCUGAAACUUAAAGGAAUUGGCGGGGGAGCACCACAACGGGUGGAGCUUGCGGUUUAAUUGGAUUCAACGCCGGAAAUCUUACCGGGACCGACAACAAUAUGAAGGCCAGGCUGAAGACUUUGCCGGAUUAGCUGAGAGGUGGUGCAUGGCCGUCGUCAGUUCGUACUGUGAAGCAUCCUGUUAAGUCAGGCAACGAGCGAGACCCACGCCCACAGUUGCCAGCGUACUCUCUGGAGUGACGGGUUACACUGUGGGGACCGCCGCUGCUAAAGCGGAGGAAGGAAUGGGCAACGGUAGGUCAGUAUGCCCCGAAUAUCCCGGGCUACACGCGAGCUACAAUGGUUGGUACAAUGGGUAUCUACCCCGAAAGGGGACGGGAAUCUCCUAAAACCAUCUUAGUUCGGAUUGAGGGCUGCAACUCGCCUCA